UCAGUCAUAAAGAUUACAGUUAUAUUUAAUACUGAGUAUAUUAAUAUGAAACUAGAGAAUAACUCUUAUUCUAACAAUUUAUUCCUUAAGAAUACUUAACUGAACAUCUUUGUAACAGUGAUAGGGUGACAAUAACAUAAAAAUCUGUCAAUAUGCCAGAGUAUCAAAACAAUUAUUAUUCUUCAGGAUCUAAAUGCAAUUUUAACAGAAAUGUUAUGAUGGAAAAUUUACAAGGAGGCUUAAGAAGUUCACUGGAGAAAAAACCAUGAGGUUGAGUUCUACAAGUUCAAGACAUCAAAAAUUCAGCAGAACUUCCCAAAAGAUAAAGUCCUACUGCAAGAACCUGUAAAAUUCAAGUUCCCUGAGGGAAAUUAUUCCUACCCUUGGAUCACCAGGUUUUCUUAUAAGAAGAAAACAUUUCGACUGUCAACUGCGCUGAUUGGCAACAGGAUAAAAGGUGGUGAUGUUCUAACAGAGUGAUGAUUCAGCAGGUAAAGGGAAGUGGAGAGGCUCAAGGUGUUGUGAUGUGAAACUGGUUUUCACUGUAUAUAUCGAAAUUUGUUUAAAUAAAACUAUUAAAGAUUU
rnacentral:lncRNA from 1 species